UUUCUUUCUUUUUUCUUUAAAGUCCUAUUCUGUGGAACUACUGAGUAACCAUAAAGUAUAAUGUUAGCAGCUGUAUGUAGUUAAGCAAUUAUUAAAAUCAAGGCUCUGAACUAUAUUAUUUCUACCAGGGUUAUCUAACUUGCCUCAAAACCACCCAAACUUGAAGGUCAGCUUUAAUAGCUGAAGUAGUUGCAGGUGUAAUAGCAAGCAAGCCCAUUAACAGAGGACAGUACUUCAUGGGGGUAAGCAAGGCAGGGGAAAUCCUGCUGUGUGGUGGUGUUCUCGGACAAAACUGCAUCUGGAACAGCUAUUGCUGGGUUUGCUGACAAGGAACAUUUGAUCUGCUGGUAGUAUAGAGGGCAUGAUUCACAUGACAUAUACCAUGCCAGAAGCGGGGAUUCUGUUACUCCCUCAGUGAAUGCAUAAAGAGAAAUGACAAGGAGGAUGGACUAAGAAGAUUAGGCAGCUGAAAGGUUUUGAGGCAAAGGAUCUUUGUGAAGGUGGAGAAUUCUUUGUUGGUUUGUAGACUGUGCUGGACUGUGACUGUAAAUGGCAUUCCUGUUGCCAGAACUUUGUCCUUCAGGUAGAAGAAUGCAAUGUUUCUACACUUCUUAAAAAUGUAGCUUUAAAGUCAGAGUAGAACCUCUUUUGAUCCAUCUCAAAUUAGGGGAAUAAAAUAUAUUCCAGCAGGUCUGAAUUGAUUUCUAACAAUUUAGACAGACUAGAUCUUAUGAUAUUUUCAUAGAACCAUGUCAUGUUUUUAGACAGACCUUCAGGUCUACCCUCCAUUUAUGCAGAUAAUCAGAGCUUCAUUUAAUAGCUAUACCUCUGAUUUCAAACCUUUAAAAAAGCUCUGUGGAAUAUUUUUCUGAAACCAUUGUGACAAGGAAAUAGAGGGGCAAUACAGCUUCCUUCUGUUGGAAAACUCAGUAGGAGAUGUCUUAUUAGUGAUAUAGUUGAUGUGGAAAAUCUGGGAAAAUUAAUUGCUGGGCUUUUGGUGUACAGCAUAAAGCUAAAGCUCUAAAAAUGCAGUGGAAUGUCCAUCCAGAAACAGACCUGAAUUACCUACACUUAGUUCUAGGACUUGAAAUGUUGUUGAGAAGCCUAACACCAUUGUACUUUGUCAACAUUGUGUCAGAACUUGAAUCUUUCCUUAGAAUUACAAAAAUAUCUGCUUGAGGGGAAGGCGGAAAUUGAACAUUAUGAACUCUGUAAAGUACAUUUCCUUGACAGAAGGAAACAGAUUAAGAGCUAAUGCUAGCUGGCUGACUGCUGAGGGUCUCUGACCAGCUGAAAGUAAUGGCACUUGAUGCUGUGAUCGCUUACCGUAUCCACUGCUGCAUUUUAUGUUGGUAUAUGAAAAAAGUCAUGAAAGGACAACAUGGAGAGUCUGUUCCCAGAGGCAUGAUUAGAUUUGUUCCUGCUGUGGGUUUAAACAUUGAACAAGUAGAGCAGCUGAGGAGACAAUCUGGUUUAGGGUAGCCUUUGAAUCCAAACCAGACUUAGGCUGUUUCCAAGAGAAACAAUACUGCAUAGUCGGAAGAGGGCUGUGCAAGUGUUUAGAGAAGGUGCAUCAAAGGAGUAUCAGCACUAUUAAAGUUGCCUCAUUCAUAGGCAAAAGAAGGGGACUGGGAGGAAAAAGCAGGAUCUGAUUAUAUAGAGAUUAUACAAAACUGCUUGAACUAAUUAUGAAAGUCCCGACUGACUGAUGCCGGUGACACAUGGACAUUGUAGCAGGAUCAGAAUGUUUUUACCCAAAAUUUUAAAAGUGGAUACCUGAAUAUGAAAGGCAACAAAAUAAGAGUUGCUUUCAUAGAAAGAGAAGGCCCUGGGCAAUUUCAGCUAAUGGUUAUCAGGUAGAUACACUCCCUUGGGGAGUGCUGCACAACAUGUCACACUCCUACUAUUCGUCCCAGAUGAUACGUUGGUGCCUGCUGAAAAGCUUUUCAAGAGGAACUGAUACAUGACAGUACUAAAAGGUUAUGGCUGCCAUCCUGCAUGCAACAUUGACUCGUAUAAAGGAAGUUUUCCUUGGGAUAUGUGGUAAUUUCAUAAGUUGAAGACUUUGAAUUGUUAGGGGGUAGGACUGGUGAAGCCUUGUUGAAAUACAUAGAAUUAUGAGCUUGAAUUUCAUUCAAGAUAUGUGAGUUAAUACAGACUGUCAUCCAUAUGUAUGUGAGGCCAGACACGAAUAUGAACUGUAGGAAUAAAGAAGUUUGCCAAAUAUCCAUGCAAAUACAGAGGUCUGGUAUUACUUGCAGGAUUAGAUUGUGACUGUCAAUAUGUGUGUGAAUGGAUGAGACAGCAGAAGUUAUUCCAGGGAAGGGGAAAGGUGGGGCAGGGACAAAGAACGCAAGAUAUGCUUCAAGAUAACAGGAAAAAGAUUAAGCUAUUGGACUAGGAAUAUUGCCUGUGUUUAUUUCCUGUGGCCUUAGGAAAACACAGCUCAUGAUGGAGGAGUGGUGAUGGUGGUGGAAAAGAAGUUCUCUAAAUAUUGUAGUCUUUUUUCUAAAGGGUUAGACCACAGGUUAACCCUUCUGUCCUCUUUGAGACAGUGUAUAUACUUACAGUGUGGCCAUGCACAUCAGAUGGUUCUCUUGAAGGUUACAGUUAACAAAAAGUUCAGAGAUGAUCACCACUUCAUAUGAUCUAUUACUGAAACCUGGUAUGCUCUAACCUUGCGUGUUUAGCAUCAGAACUAAGAGGUUAGAUCAAUUUCAUUCUGAGUUAGUCCAAGAAAUAACUUGCAAUUGGUAGUUCAGUGCUGAGAUUAGCCACAUAGUGUCACCCUAGACCAUAAAGAAAAAAAUGAAAGGCAUUCUGCCUAAUCGCUAGAUUUGAGAAGUUGUUCUGGAAGUGCUCUGAAGAAAUGUUACUACUUCUAAAUAAAUUAACAAGCUUCUCAGGAGAAUCUAUUUCAGCCUGCGUGACACAGCUGUAGGCAGAAGCUGGCAGUCUUCGGGUGGUCCUGAAGUUUUGGACAAUACUUCAUGCUAGGAGCCAUCAGCAAAGUGAUGAUAAUUUUGAUACUUUCUUACUCCUUGAGACCUUGGCCUUUGUACUUUUCAUGAUUUCUACUAUGAUUUCUAGUAUCAAAAUCAUAUUUUUCCAGAGUUUUGAAAUAUGAUGUAGAUUCUGAAGGCAUGCAUACAUUUACAAUAAAGUGUAAGUCUUUAGGUUUAUGCCACUGAGUUACUCCAGUGACCUCCCCAAAAGAGGUCACAAAGCAAAGCUUUGUAUUCCUUAUCCUUUCUUUCUGAAAUAAUUUGGAAUAGAAAUUGGUUUCUAUUCCUGAGCUUACAUUUGCCCCAUGUGGCUUCCAUUUCAAAUGGAGUUUGGAAAGUUUGUCUCUAGGCCUAGGUAAUCCAGAAGUCUUGAAAGAGUGAUCAUUUUAAAAAUACAAUUUUAAAGUGAAGUUUCAAAACAUGUUUGAGAUCAUAGAAUGGUUUGGUUUGGGGUGGAAGGGACCUUAAAGAUCAUUUAAUUUCAGCCCCCACGAAAAGUUCUAAAUCUAGAUAUAGCUGAAGAGCUUCCUCUGAAAUUAAAAUGAUAUUAAAAUCUAGCUGCAAUCAGGUUAUGGGCAUCUGGAUGUGGUGUCAAUUGAAAUUCAAAGAGUUUGAGUUUCAAAUAAUAUGAAAUUGGUAUUUUGUGUAAGUUAGGCCUCUAGUCACAGUACUUGGCAGUAGAGUCAUUGAUUACAGAGAUUUUAGGAUGUGCUUUGGUUAAAUAUGAACUACUUUUGGUAACAGUUGUCUCUCUAAGCUUUUGUUACUAUUCCAUUUGCCAAAUUUAAUUGCAUACAAUAUUUUAUCUUUUCCCAUAUUCCCGUCUCCAAAUAACAAACAUGAAGGUUGUUGGCUUUUGUACUGAGUUCCUCUUUAUAUGUAUUAAUCUUUCCGAAAUUGAGAGAGAGCUCAACCUGCUGUCUUCAGAUAGAUGUGGGUUUUUUGCAGCCUGUCCAGACUGAGUAGCCCCCAUCUGUAAUUAAUAUAUGCACCAAGAAAGGUAAUUUGGUGAAAAGAAGUAAGAAAACCUUGCUACUGGGAGAAAACUCUGACACAAAGAAGAACCUUGAUAUUGCUUUACUUAAAUAGCUGGAACAGCUAGAAUGAAACCUUUUAAUGUGAGCAAUAAAGUUCUCCUAUUAUUUGUAUUUAGAAAUGAAGCCUCCUUCCAAGAAGUCUUAAAAUAGCAGUUGCAAAUAAUGAGAGUAAAGCCUGAAAAUUUUCUACUCCGCUUAAAACAUAAUUUGAAAAGAAUGUAUACACACAUAUGAGAACAUAGUCACUAAAAUACAAAAAGUAAGACUUUUCAGGUAUGAUUCUGUCAGCAUUUAAUGAAAACAAGGCUUUUCCAUCCUUACCUAGAAUACCAUACAGCAGGACUCAUGCUUACUAGAGAAUUAAAUGGUGGGAUUGGGAAGUAAUCAAAGCACUCACUUGGUGCUCUCCUGGGGCUUUCCAGUAUUUCAUCACUGGUUCUAGGGAUUUUCAUCACACAAAAAGCAUAAAAUCUGGAAUAUUUGGAGUAUCGCUUAUACAUCAGCCAUCCCAUAAUUUAUUGCUUUCCAUUUACUCACUAACACUCAUCUUGUGGCUGAAUUAGGGAAAAUACAGUGCACUUUCCCUUCAGAGUUAACCUUACAGUACAGUCAAGGCUGCAUCUGGGUCCAAAUGUUACUUUAAUUUCUUUUCUCUUUUAAGUUAUGGUAGCAACACCAUAAAAACUACCCUCUGAGUUAGACUCCAGGCCUGAAGGCUUUACAGCUGCUUGGCUAGUGGUUAGCUUACUAGCAAGCUGAGAAAGAAUGAGCUUGCUGUUGCAUUGGAAUGUUUCCUGUAAAUGUAUCUGUAAAUCCUUUCUUUAUUUUUGCACUAUCUGAUAGAUAAAACAACAUUUCCUUCAUGUGUGCCAUCCCUUCUAUCAAGUUUAUUCAAAUUUCUACCACAUUGCUAUCUUAGGUGCACUAUUGAGGGGAUCUAGACAUGCUUGCUGGAAGCAGCUGCUGCUGAAAGCAGAAAUUGAACAGUCAUUCUCUGAUAUUUAAGAAAUAAUUAAUGAACCAUCAAAUUAUGCCCUCAAAGAAUCAAAGUUAAAACACCAUCUAGGAACAGCAAUUGUAUAAUGUUUUCAUUCCGUUGUAAGCUGGGGCAAUUCCAGCCCAGAUAUAAUUAAAUUGAUUUGGCUGUGAUAUAUAUUUAUUGUAGAUAAUUUCAGCAUAUAUUUGUAAUACCUUCUACUCAUGGUAUGUUAAGAAUUAGACAUUUGUAAAUAUAACUGAAUACCAAUCAAGUGCAGCAAGUAAUUUCAGAUUUAUGACUUAAAGAAUUCUUUGAGGACAAAAAAAAAAUCCUGCAAUCCAUGACAGGAGAAGUGUGUGCUCAGCAUUGUAGCUGUUCCCUUAGAAACAAGGCAUCACAUGAUGCACAGUGCUAGUGGAGCAUGCUCAAUGCAUAAAUAAAUUAGGCUGAUUUUUUUCUUCUUUUGUUCUGAAAUUUACCCUGGAUUUUCUGCUGCCAGCUGCAGCACUGAAAGCUGCUUGGUUUGCCUCCUAUGUAAAAGCAUGGUCCAAGUGAUUGGCAGUGCUGUGUACUGCUAGUGCUAAAAUCUUCAUUAAUGUGGAACUAUACCACACACACCUUUUCCAGUGAGCAAGUUCAGCUUCCCUGCAUGUAGACUUUGGAAAGAAAUCUCAGCAAAAUUGACUUCACCCAGUUAGAAGGAGAAAACCAGUCAAGUGACAGAUCACAACAGUAAGCUAUUAGUCAAAACAAAUAAACUAGAAGUUCUUGCCAUCAUUUCAAUGCUCUUUGAGCUGUUUCAUUUUCAUUGUUUAUAGCCUCAGUAUUCUGACAGUAUCUUAACUGAGAAAACCCUAUUAUAUAAGGAAAAAAAAAAUAAAGUGUUUCUUCUUUGCAGGAUUUUUAGAGUAUGUUUUCAGAAAGGAAAUCACUGCUUUAAGACAGAAAAAAAAAUCUAUGUACUGCAGCUCUGUUAGUUGGCAUUUGUACCUAACAGUGUGUCUUGAAUACAUGAUGAGCCAUUUGCAGACUCCCACAGGCUGGUGGAGCUGAAAUCUGAAUUUAUUCAAGUCCAUACUCAAUCUGAUUUCCCUAAAGAAUAAGAUCUCUGUUGGAGCUCACUUGAAUCACACUUGUUUUUCAUUGCUAGAAUGAGGUAGAUGCUUUUGAUGGUCCUUUAGAAACAGCCAAACUGGGACUCUUUAUAUAAAGUAUUUAUAUAUGGUUUGAUAUAUAUACACACACAUAUAUAUAUAUAUAUGCACAAAAUACAUGUAUAAAAAACCUCCUGAGGAUGGAGGUUAGAACUCUUUUAUCCCUUGUUCAUGCCUGGUGAAGUCUUUCCAAACUGUUUGGAAAGAGUUGCCAUACCAUAUGCUUGGAUCAUAGUUUCCUAUGCUUAGGAAACUAAGAAACCCUGAAAAGGCUUAGUUACACUUGGAAAGCAAUUAUUUUCUCUUGAACGUUUAAAAAAUAUUAUUAUUAUUUAUCUCUUCCUUAAAGCUUCAAUGUAUGUGCUUUGCAGCUGCAUGCAAAGUGCAUGGUUUUGUAGGUGAAUUGGAUAUCAGACCUAAAGUAAUCAGAGAAAACUCUUUGUGCCUUUCUUCCUGUCCCCAGCAACCCAGCCAUGAUGGCUUUCAUAUUCAAAGGCUAUUGAACAUGCCAGGAAAGUGGGAAACUGGAAAGUUUCAUAUUGCAUAAUACCCACAAAGGAGGGAAUUACAAGGUUACAAGGCUCAGUGUAGUGACAGUUGAGGUGUCUAUACCCUUGCUUCACAGGGGUCCCCAUUUUGUAGUACAAGCAAGGCAUUGCUAUUCUUUACAGUAUGGCAAGUUUAUAGUGUAAACAGGGAGCACCACAAACUGCUAAGAGAAGUAGCACAUCCUUUUUUUUGUCUGAUAAUGUCAGACUUCCUUUGUAACUUCAUGAGCUGUAUUGCUCCAAUAGUGUUGCUCAUUGCUGGGCCAUGGAGACAUCCAAACAAAAUGAUUGGAAGAAAAUGGUUUAGAUUUGUGUUGGUUGGUGACUGUGACAAAAUUAAUCACAAACCUUGUCUUCUACUAUCCCAUGUAGUUCUUUCUGUGACAGAUAUAUUGGGUGAAAGGACCUGUGUCUCAAUAAACUAUGUUUCAAUUAAAA